CUUUCCCUGCCCAGCAGGGCGCCACUGGCCUGUCCCACACCCUCUCUGCCGCCUGCCCAGUGACCUAAUUAUUGUUUUUUCUUCCAGCCCCGCGGAGGGGAAAACAGAAAUUCCUGGAGGAUGACACAGGCCCGGCGGCCGCCUGCGAGCAGAGCACGGGACCGGCCGGGCCGGCUUCGCCCGGCCUGAACCCGCCGCCCGCCCCGCCGCGGGGCCGCGGAACCCGCCAUCAGGCUAACACAUACCUCUGGGGAGCCUGCCAGGUGCCAGGCACUGCCCCACACAUUGAGGCGGAGCAGCAAGCAGGAUGGCGCGGCCCUGCCCUCUGCAGCUGUCUUUCUGGGGCUGGGGGACAGGCGGUGAACCAAUAUACACAAAAUAUAAGGUCAGAUGGGGUAACAGAGCGAGGGCACAGUGCACCAUGGGGUGCCCUUUUAGACGGGGUGAUCGAGCAGGGGCCAGGACAAAGUGGGGGUGGUGCCUUGCCAACGUCUGGGGCAGAAGUUCAGAAAGAGGGACCCGCAGGUGUCAAGGUCAUGAGGCAGGAACGUGCUUGGCAUUUUCAGGAUAGCAAGGAAGGCCGUGUGGCUAGAGUGAUUGGGGGAGAGAUGAGUGCGUGCACAGGGUGAGACCGGAGAAGGGAGGGGACAGUGCAGGGGCCUUCAAGGCGCCGGGUUGCCCCACUUGUUCUGUGUCAGCCUCUGUCCCAGGUGAACCCCAUCACCUUAGCCCCUCCUUUCUCAAGCCUAGGAUCCACCUCCCCCUUUUGACCACUCCUUCUCUUGUUUCCCAUAGAAAUAUCACAGACCGGCCUGCUUUCAGCCUGCGUAAUCUCAGUGUGGACGCCGGAGCUGAUCGUCCCGCCCUUCUCCGCUGCCUUCAAGUAUGUGGAAACUGACGCUCAGAGAGGUGCAGUGACCUGCCCACGGCCACACAGCUCUCCGCAGUGGUGGAGACCAGAGUCCUCUGACAGUAGGUGCUCCUUCCAGCACGUUGAGAGAACUGGCUCAGAACAGUGACCUGUCUGAUGACCUGAAACCGUUUGCUUAUCCUGGCCCCCGGCAGCCUUUUUUUGCAAAUAACUCUUUAUCUUAUUUUACCUCUGUGAUCACACUCGAUCUUUCUAGUAACCGCGGGAGGCAGGUCUGAGGACAGUUUGGCUUUCAUAGGUGAAGUGCCACGUGAGAGACCUUGUUUUGAAACUUCCCGAAUUUUCCCUGGGCUGUGUUGCUCCCCAGAGCAGCCCGCAGAUGCUCGUGUUCUUCUGGCGCCCCCUACAGCCUGGAAGUGGUAUUAAAUCUCCCUGCUGGGUCAUUUAAAAAGUUUUGCCUGAAAAGUUUGCUUUCUCUUUUUAACCCAACACAAUCUGGGCGUUCCCCUCAGACCUCUGGAUUCACCUUGUCCCUCCUUGCUCAACAUAUUUGACAGUAGUUAAAACAUGUUUAUCUUUUGUAACUUUGUCUUCAAGAAACUAGGAUAUACUAAAGGCUCAACAAAUUGGGGUGGUUGUCCAGUGGAGAACCCCAAGAACGAGUCUGCAUCGCCAGUAGCCUGAAAGCUCUUGGGGGUGAGGCUGUUCUCUCCCAUCAUCUUAGACUAAGGGUCUCCCAGGGAAGGGAUGUGUCUCCCCCAGCGCCCCUCCCCCAUGUUGUGAGGGGGCCCUUCAGAGCAAUGCCACAGGCAGUGAGUGGGGACAGGUGGCCUCUGCCUACUGCCAUGCCCAUGGCGGCACUCUGCCUGCAACAGAGGAGGGGCAGUGUGUUUCCCGAGGCUCGGGUAGGUAGGGCACAGGAAGAAGAGGAAAGACCUGCUGGUGCCAGCCUUGGGCUCUCUCUGCACACACAGGCCUAACCCAGAGCCCACAAGAACUUGAACUUGGGCAGCACUAUGAUUGAGUCUUUCUGGGGUGAGCACAGUUGAGUUGAAGACUGCUGUUCCUUCCAGGAGGCGGGAGCCUGGGGCUGGUUGUUCAUGGGCUGCUCAGGAGAGGGGGGAGGGAAAGGCCAGCUCCUGUCAAAAGCCCUGUGAUCUCCAGGUCCCCACUCUGAAUGUCCUGCCACCCACUGGUCACCCCUACUCCGAGGUCCUGUAGGUCCCUCAAACCCCCAUCUCAAACACUCCCACCCACAUCUGUCUCUCCUUCUGGGUUGCUCCUCAUUCAUUCAUUCCUCAGGCAUUCAGUCAACAUCAGUUGAUCAUUUAUCAAGUGCCAGGUGUUUUUGUGUUUGUUUGUUUUUGGGGGGGUUAUUGAGAUAUAAUUUACUUAUUGUAAA